UCCCUGGUAGCUCAGAUGGUAAAGAACUUGUCUGCAGUGUAAGAGACCCAGGUUCAAUACCUGGAUGGGGAA
rnacentral:tRNA from 1 species